CAGAAAUGAAAUGACCACUCCUCUCUCUCUCUCUCUCUGCACAGUUUAUAACUUCAGUUGCUUCCCCUUUUGCUGGAAAAAAAUUCUGAUUCUGAAGACGAUGAUCUGAUCUUCUCUUUACUCUUAAAGCACUUCCCAUAAAUCAGAACAAGUCCACUUUCUCAAGAACUCUCUCUGAUUGCACUAUGCUUCAAUCUCAGAUCCAUCUAAGCUAAGAAUGUUGCAGAACUUAUAAAGACUGAAGGAGAGUCACCACUAUCAGAGUCAGAUUCUGAUGAAGAUUGAGUAAAAAAGCUUAGAAGAUCCCAGAAGAAGAAGAUAAAGAUCACAACACACGCAGAUCUUUGCUUCCAUGGAUUUUUUCACAGUACCACUACCACUACCACCACCAAGCAACAUUCCCCACAUUCCAAAAAUAAUCACCACCACCACCGCCAACAACAAGCAUUUCAUCAACAAGACUAGUAUCAACUUCAGCUUCACCUUCUGUUCCUAGCCAGUACGAGAGCCAGAAGCGCCGAGAUUGGAACACCUUUGGGCAGUACUUGAGAAACCACAGGCCUCCACUCCCACUCUCCAUGUGUUCUAGUGCUCAUGUCCAUGAAUUCCUUCGAUACCUCGACCAGUUUGGAAAAACCAAAGUCCAUAACCAAACAUGCCCUUUCUUUGGGGUCCCUAACCCACCUGCACCAUGCCUUUGCCCUCUCAGGCAAGCCUGGGAAAGCCUCGAUGCUCUCAUAGGCCGCCUUAGAGCGGCCUAUGAAGAGCACGGUGGGAAACCCGAGGUGAAUCCGUUUGGGGCAAGAGCAGUGAGGCUUUUCUUGCGUGAGGUUCGCGAUUUUCAAGCUAAAUCUAGAGGGAUUAGUUAUGAGAAGAAGCGAAAGCGGUCGAAGGAGAAGGUACCACCACUGCAACAACCUCCUGUCGCAACUCAGUGAUGUACACUACUCUGCACUAUGGAGUAGCAUUUAUUAAGCGAAAGCGGUCGAAGUAAGUUUUUAUGUAAGAAUUUAUUAAUUGCACCUAGAUGAUGGUUUUAAAUAAGGGUUACCAGCAUCAGACGUUUAAAAUUUAGAUAUGUAUAUGUAUGAGCCGUUAUUUAAGAACUUUGACCUAGAUGUUCUAUAUGGGAAUUUUUAUAUCUUCUAUAUUCUAUGCUUAAUUUCCAUUUUGAUGGACAAUUAGAGCAUGUAGAAAUGGUCAUUUUUUUUGUGUGUUUUACUUGUUAGGUUUGUUCAAGACCAUGACUCGUGGAUAUGCAAUCUCUCCAGUUUGCUGUUAUUGGAAACAGUAGGGUUUGGGACUACCAAGAAUAGAAAUAUAGAAAUAUAAGACGAGUUUCCAGUGAAGUAGUAACAAAUGGCAGGCUACAUUGUAUGCAUAUCAUGUACGGCUAUAUAAUAUGUACUUGAAAAUUUGUUACAUUUUAAACAUUUGCAAUUCAAGUUUCAUAGCAUUAGUUAUUAUCUUCAUAUUCCAAA